CAUCUUUGAUCACGAGAUGGCAGAGGAAAUAUUGUAGAUAGUUUUUCCACCAUUAGAAAGAAAACCAAACUGAAGUAGUGGAUUUUUCAGUCCCUUUCUUUAGGAUUUUUGCUGGAUGAAAACUUGCUUUACGCUGGGGUUUCACACCUCUACCCAGAAACCCAGUUGCGCAGAGUCUCCAUCCGCGGAGAACUCGGUUCCAAUCCCGGCCCGCCGACACCGCGCCCCGCGCUCGAGCGCCCCCUGCCGGCAAGGUCCAGGGGCCCCAGGUACCUGAAUCGGGCGCCUCCCGUAGCAGUUGACUCCAUUGGGAUCUGCGCCGGCUUCCAGGAGGUGCCGCACGGUCUCCACUUGCCCCCUCGCAGCGGCGUUGGCCAGGCCCACAUCGUCGCCGUCACCACCGAGCAUGCCCUUGUCCUCCUCGCGCAUUCCGCAGACCCCAGACACGGCGCGGCCCGGAUAAUCCACCCCUGGCUGCAAUUGAAAAAAUCUGGUAUUUAGCACUGAUCUAUCAGUACCACUUGCUGACUUAGGUGUGAAGAUGAUUUUUCUUAAAGGUACAUUCUCUACAAGUAUGCAGCCAGCAGGUUAUCAUGUAUACAUGAACUGUGAGAUGCUACCCAUUUCAACCAUCGACACUUACUAUCACUGAUCCAAGGGGAGAUUGGGGUGAUGCAGUUUUACCUACCUUUAUAAGAACACCAGUAUUUGGUGCUUAGCUUUGGUGAGACAUCCCUGGUGCUUAUUGAGGAAGCUAGAACUGUGUGGAGCUAGAUCACCAUUGAAGAUUCUUCUACCAGGCCUAGUAUCUGCUUUACUGAUUGCUGGUGCAUAUUUCAUACUGACUGAACUAAUAACAUUCUCUCUUAGUUCUUGCUUCUCCACUUCAAGUCCUUUUCAAAAGAAAUGUAUAGAAAUGGGUGCAUGUGUUUGCUUUACUUUGUUAUUUUCCUGGUUGGGUAAUCACGCCUAUGGCUCUCACUUAGCUCUGCGGCAAUAAGUUUCUAUUGACAUGAAUUUAGACCAGCCCUGGCAGCUCUGGUAAGUAGGGGAAGUCUGGGUGUGUCUGGCUUGGGCUGUGGUGCCAGGAGAGGGUGGAUGCACCUGUUCUACUUGUGUAACCUUGGCACCAAUGUAUGAUUGCCUCUGUGCAUAUUUGCAUUUGUCUUUUUUUGUGAAAGGUCACUGGCUGAUUUGAGCUGCUGGGCUGAGUCCCACAUCCUGCGCAUGCUACAUUGGCUUUCUUUCUGUGGCAUUCUGCUUCAUUUCUAGAGAUAGAAAAGGCCAGUAUUAAGACACUCAUUUGUUGAUGGAGAAACUGAAACACUCAAGAGGUUCCCUGACUUCCAAGUCAGCAAGAGAAGACUUUGCCCAGCUGUUCCCAAAAAUAGCUUCUUGAGAAUACCACAGAAGCACGAACCUGAGACAAUUUUUGUUUACUCGGAAAAUUUGCUUUAAAAGGAACAUUAACGUUUGUUGAGUUCUACUGCAUGGAUGUGAUAAUUUGUACGGUGGCUUUUUAUUAUAAAUUUGGAAGACUUGCCCCUUUGCAUCUACCUACUCAGGGAUAUUAUGACGGCUUUGAACCACUUCAGUUCAAAUCUGACUGAAAAGGCAGCACCAGAGACUGUAUCUUAUUUAUUUUGUAACUUUCUUUGCACCUAGUACAAAACAUUUGUGUGAUAACUAAUAAGGGGUGCUGUAUUUUAUUUAGAUUCUAGAUAGUUUAUUCAAAAAAUGUUAAAUUACUUUAAUAAAGAUAUUUGAAGAAGUUUACAACAAAAAACUUUAUCAAUUUGACUCACAUUUCCCUCCAGUUGAGAAGAAAACUCAAAGACUCUAAACAAUUUUCUUUUGGAAAAAAAAGAAAGUUUCAGAAAUCACCCAGAAGCAAUAGGGAGUGGCCUUGAACCCUGUGUUUUUAUUAAUGUGCGGCUAAAGUUCAAGUUUCUCAACAUACCAUAAUCUCAGUGUUACUGGCCAAAUUCCACAGUGGAUAAUUAAGCUCUAGCUUACCAGGACAGAUUCGGAUGGUGAGCGCAAUCACGCUGCUCUGCUGGGAAUCUGUUAGCCAGGUUUACUGUGUUUUACAUGAGUGUCGACUCACCUCACUGGCUGACUGGACCAGCCCAACAGGUCUGACCGGUGAGAUCAUUGUUGGCUCUUCCACUGCUGGGCCUGGUAGCCAGAAGAGGCCACUAAAUAAAUGUCCCGAAUUAGGAUCACAGACAAGUUCCUAGCAUUUCCUUAUUUUUUUCUCCCAAACCCCUUCCACCAACAAUCUAUGGACUGAAGCAUUCAUUUAUUCACUGAACAAAUAUUCACUGAACACCUCGAAUGUGUCAGGCACUGACCCAGGCACUGGAAAUUUAAUAGUGAACUAGACAUUUCCAGCCUUUAAGGAUCCAUAAACAAGUAAUUAUAAUAUUUGGUGGGAAAUGUUAUCGUUCACAGAGCUCAGUAAUCCAAAUUCUUAUUAUUUCUGUCUUUAAAAGGCAGAAAGUACACAAUUGCUCUUUGGAAGGGACACAUAUAGGUAUUUAUAUACUUCAACACAUAAAAUUAACAAAUGUAUGCAGACUGGUUCAUCUGUUAAAUUGUGAGUUACAGUGCGUCUUCCCCUUAGCCCACCCCUCCCCUCUUACCCAAACGGCCCCUCUACCCUGUUACAUUGCCGCCACUGUAGUGACGGUGGAAGCACUUCUCUGAGCCUCAGUCCAUGCUGUCUUGGGGUGUUUUCAUCAUGUUGGCUCGCAAGAACUCAGACCCAAUAGUAAGAUAAAAAAUUUGACCAUAAUAUGAACCUUGGCCUUAUCACGUUAAAACCAAGAAAACUGAACAGACGCCAAUGAAUUUACUUCUUAACAGCCCUAUGUCACUGCAAAAGUCUCCUGAAUUCUGACUCUUUUGUCACAAAAUCAAACAAGAAUUACUAUGCUUAAUUAAACUCUCCUAAUAAAUUGUAUCUAUUAUAUACUUGAUUGGGUAAUGUGUUGCUGUGGUUACAAAAUGUAUGUAUGCUGUGAAAAGCUAUUUACAAUAGAGUUUUAUGACAUUGCAAGGAAGAGGCUGUCAUUGUCACAUUAUUGUAACACACUGUUGGAACGUUUAUAUAAGAAAUUGUAAUUCCAUGAGCUUGUUUUUAUUUUUAGCUCUGUUUUUUUCUAGUUGCUAUCAGGUCUACAUUUUAUUUGAUUCUGAAGCUUUAGAUUAUUUGUUGCUAUAAUAUCCACAUCAGUUCAUUCAUUUAACAAAAAUUUAUUGAGCGCUACUUUGUGCUUGGAAUUUUCCGAUGUUGUAAAGGGUGAUUGGCUAAAGUCUUUCCUACAUUUAUUAGUAGUUUGAGGUCCCCCCCGCCCCCACCAGUUUUGAAGGCUGUCUCAUAUUCCCAGGUUUUCUCUCCAGUAAGAAAUCAUUGAUGUUGAAUGAGACAUGUAUUACAGUUUAAGGCUUUCCCACAGUUGCUUCCUGUAAAGAUUUUUUUCUCCAAGAGCUAUCUGAAUGAGGGGGUAUUCUGUUUGAAGUCUUUCCUACACACAAAUAUUGCUUUGAUUGUCUUCAAAUUUAUGAGCAUUCAGUUGUUGAGCAUAUAUUAAUAUACUGACUGGAGUGAAGGCUCCUUGUUUUUGACCUCAAGGAAUUUAUAAUCUAGUGAGUGAGACACUUGUCUCUUUGAAAAUUUGUAUCUGUUAAAUAGCAAAGUUGAUGUGCUAGUUAUACAAUUUUUGAAUAUGUAUUAAUAUAAAUAGGUAAGUAUAAAUUAAAUAAUUUUUGUCUAUAUACAUCCCCAAAUCUUUUCAAGUGCCCUUAGUCCAGAAUACACAGCCUUUGGGAAUACAGAAGAAAACAAAAUGCAGAAAUAGUAAUAAUAAAGUGGCAGUAGUAACCAGAGCUAUUAUUUGUUGAGGGCUUUACACAUGUCAUUUGCUUUAUCUUGUUUAAUCGUCACAACUCUCACAGGUAUCUACAUCACAGAACUGUGAGGCAAAAGGGAAGGAAAGGAGAGAUUGUAAAAGUGAAACUUCAUUUUGCCCAGGGCAGCUGUUCCUAAUACAUGAUGUUUUAGUAUUUGCUCUUUAAUUUAGUCAGCUGAGAUUCCACACUUGAUUAGUUUAUGAAAAUUGGGGUGUGAUGGUAGCUGAUUAAAAAUUUUUCUUUUAUCAAAUGUGUUUGCUGUUAGUCAAACAAAAUAACGUUCCCAGAAAAAGGAUGUCAGCAUCCAUUACACCUACUACAGGAAUGCUGAAUCCACUUUCAUCAGGAUUGAGCAGCAGAAAUCAGAUUAAAACACAUUUUCUUCUUUAUUUUUUACUAAUGAUUUUGUUUCUCCAGUUGCUAAUCAGUAAGAAUAUCUUUGUCCUGCUGAACCAAGGCAUUUGCUUAAAAGUCUCUGCAUUCUCUGGCACAAUUGCCUAAUUUAUUAAAGGCAAGAAUCUUCCAGUUCUCUGCUGGGAACAUUGUGAAAUAAAAAUUUUUAUAAACAUACAGAAACUCAUAAAAUAUUAGAGUUGGAAGAGACCUGAGACCUAAGACAACUCUCUCUCUCUUUACAGAGGAAAAAGUUGAACCCUAGCAAUAAUCAGGAAAAAUUUCUCUGAGUUUCCAUAAUUGAUAUCUCUGUUGUAAUGUUUAUGACAUGGCUUUGGUUUUAAUUGUCUACUUGAAUUUUGCUUCCAAUAUAUGGUGAACUCCAAGUACAAAUCAUGCCUUAUUUCUCAUCCUGAGUUCUUAGCAGAGUGUCUUGUACAUGGUGCAAAAUAAACAUAUUUUUGACUAAGUGGUAUGUUGUAUGCCAUAAAUUUGCCUUUUAAUUCUCCUUUGACUUGAACUUCCUAGAUGCUUAAGCCUCUCUUAGCAUUCCAUUAUUUAUCUUCCCUAUAAAAGUUCUAAAGACAGUGUGUUUGUGAGAUAAUUUAGUGAAUAAUAAGUACUUUGAUAGCUGGAAUAGUAUGCUUCCCAUUGUCACUUUUAUGUAUUCUGAGUACUGACAACAUUUUUCAGAAUGGUAAAACAAGAAAGAUGAAAAUCUAAAGGUGUAUGGACUAUGUUAGUUAAAUAUCUUCAUUGGACAUUUACAUAAAUGAUAGGAGCUGUGAGAAAUAAAUUUAUCUUUAGUAAUUAUUAUGGAACAAAUUAAAGCUUGUGAAAUGCUUUGACAAUAUGCCAGGUGUUUCAAAUAAUUAAAUUAUCAAAUAAUUUUUUGGACUUCAUUUCACAGUAGUCUAAUUAAAAUCCAGCAUUGAGGCUGAUGGUAUAUUUGUGUGAGAAUGUUUUGGAGAUUUUACCAUUAACUUUUCUGUGUAGGUUGGUGUAUACUUCAUGUUAUUGUCACGUAGGUGACUGAAAUGAUAACACGGUAAUUCUGCAAAAAACACUUUGGUUCAUAAUGCUCUUUGGUGUGAAGUGCACUUUAAGAAGUGUCACAAUUCCAGGGCUAUGAUUUUUACCUGUGAAGAUCAAUGCAUCCUCCUUGUUAUUCUCAGGAUUGUUUUUUUAAUGGCUUGGUGAAACAAGACAUGCUUCUCCACCCCCACCCCUUCCCCUUUCCUGUGCCUCUUC